GAUGAACGCUGGCGGCGUGCCUAAUACAUGCAAGUCGAGCGAACAGACGAGAGUGCUUGCACUCUCUGACGUUAGCGGCGGACGGGUGAGGAACACGUGGGUAACCUGCCUAUAAGACUGGGAUAACUUCGGGAAACCGGAGCUAAUACCGGAUAAUAUUUAGCUUCGCAUGAAGCGAUAGUGUAGGACGGUUCUGCUGUCACUUAUAGAUGGACCCGCGGUGUAUUAGCUAGUUGGUGAGGUAACGGCUCACCAAGGCAACGAUACAUAGCCGACCUGAGAGGGUGAUCGGCCACACUGGGACUGAGACACGGCCCAGACUCCUACGGGAGGCAGAAGUAGGGAAUCUUCCGCAAUGGGCGAAAGUCUGACGGAGCAAUGCCGGGUGAGUGAAGAAGGUUUUCGGAUCGUAAAACUCUGUUGUAAGGGAAGAACAAGUACGUUAGUAACUGAACGUACCUUGACGGUACCUUACAAGAAAGCAACGGCUAACUACGUG
rnacentral:rRNA from 1 species